UUAAUAACAAAAGAAAGAAAAAGAGUGGGCGAGUUUGUCUGAUGCCGUCAACGCGGUGGGAUCUGAGAGUCGCACCGUAAAUGAACUGAAGAAGAAAUGGUCAGACAUAAAGGUGGAAGUUAAGCGGAGAACUGCUGCGCACCGACAAAGUGUGGGCAGAACAGGCGGUGGUACAGGGACCGAUGAACUUGCACCCUUUGAUCAGAGAGUUGCCUCUAUUGUAGGAGACACGUUAAUCUCUGGAAUCGUAUCCGCUGAUGUAGGAGACUCGGAUAUACUACAGGACUGCCAGCAAGGAACCGCAGGAACGUCCACUGGCACGCACUCAGAGUCCGCACCACCUGAGCAGCCAGAGCCCAUUCAGUCCAGCGUCUCCCGUGUCUCUAAUGUUCCCCCCAGUGCUGAAGCCCGUCCAUCUGGCCGUGUCUUGACGCAUGCUGUUCUGGAGUCACAACAACAAAUUGUUAGGGCCAUUGAAGAAAUGAACAGUCACCUUAAAAAUGUCACUGACGCACUCACAGAAAUAAGCCAUUCAUUAAAAGAAUUGGUCAAAAAAUGAA